rnacentral:rRNA from 1 species
CGUGGGUAACCUGCCCAAGAGAUCGGGAUAACACCUGGAAACAGAUGCUAAUACCGGAUAACAACAGAUGAUGCCUAUCAACUGUUUAAAAGAUGGUUCUGCUAUCACUCUUGGAUGGACCUGCGGUGCAUUAGCUAGUUGGUAGGGUAACGGCCUACCAAGGCGAUGAUGCAUAGCCGAGUUGAGAGACUUAUCGGCCACAUUGGGACUGAGACACGGCCCAAACUCCUACGGGAGGCAGCAGUC